rnacentral:rRNA from 1 species
GACGAACCGUGCGAACGUUAUUCGGAAUCACUGGGCUUAAAGCGCGUGUAGGCGGGCCGGCACGUCGGUCGCUGAAAUCCCCCGGCUCAACCGGGGAAGCGGCGCCGAUACGACCGGCCUGGAGGGACGUAGGGGGGGCUGGAACUUCCGGUGGAGCGGUGAAAUGCGUUGAGAUCGGAAGGAACGCCCGUGGCGAAAGCGAGCUCCUGGACGUUUUCUGACACUGAGACGCGAAAGCCAGGGGAGCGAACGGG